rnacentral:rRNA from 1 species
AUUGAACGCUGGCGGCAGGCCUAACACAUGCAAGUCGAGCGGCAGCGGGAAAGUAGCUUGCUACUUUUGCCGGCGAGCGGCGGACGGGUGAGUAAUGCCUGGGAAAUUGCCCAGUCGAGGGGGAUAACAGUUGGAAACGACUGCUAAUACCGCAUACGCCCUACGGGGGAAAGCAGGGGACCUUCGGGCCUUGCGCGAUUGGAUAUGCCCAGGUGGGAUUAGCUAGUUGGUGAGGUAAUGGCUCACCAAGGCGACGAUCCCUAGCUGGUCUGAGAGGAUGAUCAGCCACACUGGAACUGAGACACGGUCCAGAAUCCUACGGGAGGCAGCAGUGGGGAAUAUUGCACAAUGGGGGAAACCCUGAUGCAGCCAUGCCGCGUGUGUGAAGAAGGCCUUCGGGUUGUAAAGCACUUUCAGCGAGGAGGAAAGGUUGAUGCCUAAUACGUAUCAACUGUGACGUUACUCGCAGAAGAAGCACCGGCUAACUCCGUGCCAGCAGCCGCCGUAACAC